AAAAUUAAUGUUUUCUAAUGUACAAUUUGGUGAAUUUUAGCACAUAUAGAUUCCUGUAAGUGCCUCCCAUUUACCCUAAAACUGCAGUCAACUGAGAAACAUUGAAGUUCUUUCUUUGUAAUCACACUAUUAGCUUUUGACUCUGGAAGCCAGUGUCUCUUGUUUAUAGCUCUUCUGAAUAGUUUUGUCUCUUAGAAUAUAUAAUGUAAACAAAAUCACGCAGUCUUUUCAAAGUGUUUGUUGAGACAAUUUGCGUACCAUAGAUUCACCCAUUCUAAGUAUGUAACUGAGCCCGUCAAGAGUACACAGCCAUCAUCUUGGUAAAUUGUCAAGCAUUUCAUCAUCACAAAUAGCCUUGUGUUAGUCAGCUGACAUGCCUUUCUGCCCCAGCCAGCUUUGGAUAUUCUGUUUCGUAGAUCUCAUUAAAAGACAAUGCACAUGCAUGGCACCAUAGACUGUGUGGUCUUUGGGAAGUUCACCCAUGCUUGUUUUAUGUCUGAAUAGUGUCUCAUGAUAUGGCCUUAUCACACAUCCAUUCUCAAGAUGUCUGUGUAGAUAUCGUGGUUGGGUUCCGCUCAAUAGCGCUGCUGUAAAUGUGUGGGACCAGCAAGCCGUGAGAAGCGAGCCAGUAAGCAGCACCGGCCAUGGCCGCUGCAUCAGCUCUGUCUGCUUCCUUCUGGGUUUGAGUUCCUGUCUUGGCCUCCCUCCGUGGAUUGUGACUCAGGUUCUGUAAACUGGAGACACCUUUCCUCGCCAGGUUGGGGUUGGUCAUUGUGUGUCAUCACAGAAAUAUUAACCCCUAGCUACGACACUUUCAUAGUGGAACGUUUUGGUUAUGUGCUAAGCCUUCAGUGUAACCAUUUGAAGAACUGCCAAGCUGUUUUCCAAAGCAGCAGCUGCCUAUUUACCUGUCUGUGGUGGUCAGGGUGUUGGUUGCUCCACAUAGCUCCCUACACUUAUUAUUAGCUGGCUUUUCCAAUCGAGUCAUUCUAGUGAUAGCAACUAGUUUAGUGUCUUUAUGAAUAUAAACACAUAUAUGUUAUAUGCUUAUUGUUUUUUUUUUAUUAAAUAUUUUCUUUAUUUGUGUUUCAAAUGUUUUCCCCUUUCCUAGUUACAUUUAUUCAUUGUUAUGUUGAGGAGCGGGGGGGUGGGGGGGGUGGGGGGUGAUGCAUAUUCCACAGUGUGCAGAGAGAUUGCUUUUCUGUUUUGAACCAUGUAGGUCUCAGGUCUUGGUGACAAGGUCUUUUACCCACUGAGGCUCACAGGCCUCUGUGGUUUUGAUUUACAUUUCUGUGAAGGCAAGCUAAAGCUACUAUUCUCGUGUUUAUUGAACAUUUGUGUAUCUUCCUUAAAGAAUGUUUAUUCAAAUCUUUUGCCCAUUUUUAGAUUGGGUUGUCUUUUUGUUGUUAAGUAGUUAAUCUGGGUACAGGUUAUCAGCUAUAUGGUUUUUAAGUAAUUUCCUGUGGACUUUGUUUGGUUUUUGUUGUUUUGUUUUUAGAUAGACUUGCUUUGUAAUACUGACAGGCCGUGAACUGGAAUGCCUCCUGUAUUAGCUGCUGAUGAUGAGGGAUUGCAGGCACUCCACCCUCCAGCCAUUAUUUUUACUAUCUAUUUAAUAGUGGUUUUGGAAGAUUUUUCAUUUUGGCAAAGUCUAGUUUAUCGUAUUGUGAAUGCACUAUGCUUUUGGUAUCUUGUCUUCCCAUGAGAACUCUUAUGGAAACUUCUAGUCAUAAAAGUUUUUUCUUUGUCU
rnacentral:lncRNA from 1 species